UACGGGGGGGGCAAGCGUUGUUCGGAAUUACUGGGCGUAAAGGGCUCGUAGGCGGCCAACUAAGUCAGACGUGAAAUCCCUCGGCUUAACCGGGGAACUGCGUCUGAUACUGGAUGGCUUGAGUUCGGGAGAGGGAUGUGGAAUUCCAGGUGUAGCGGUGAAAUGCGUAGAUAUCUGGAGGAACACCGGUGGCGAAGGCGGCAUCCUGGACCGACACUGACGCUGAGACGCGAAAGCGUGGGGAGCAAACAGG
rnacentral:rRNA from 1 species